rnacentral:sRNA from 1 species
CACAGGACGUGCACCAUGGCAACGGCACCCAGCAAACCUUCUACCAAGACCCCAGUGUGCUCUACAUCUCCCUGCAUCGCCAUGACGACGGCAACUUCUUCCCGGGGAGUGGGGCUGUGGAUGAGGUAACCGCAUGUCAGGGCCACAUUUUCCAGCCUCAUUGACCUCCUCCUGGCACUUACUCUGCCUCUGUCAUGACGAGCUGUGUGAUCCUGGGCAGACUGCUGAGCCUCUCUGAUCCUAAACUCCCCCACCUGGAAAUGAGGAGGCUGGAUGAGCUGGGCUGGCAGCUCUAACAAGCUGGUGUUCCCCUUCUGGGACUCUGCUGUCCUCAUGUCUCUCUUGCCUCCUGUUUUCCAGGUAGGGGCUGGCAGCGGUGAGGGCUUCAAUGUCAAUGUGGCCUGGGCUGGAGGUCUGGACCCCCCCAUGGGGGAUCCUGAGUACCUGGCUGCUUUCAGGAUAGUCGUGAUGCCCAUCGCCCGAGAGUUCUCUCCAGACCUAGUCCUGGUGUCUGCUGGAUUUGAUGCUGCUGAGGGUCACCCGGCCCCACUGGGUGGCUACCAUGUUUCUGCCAAAUGUUUUGGAUACAUGACACAGCAACUGAUGAACCUGGCAGGAGGCGCAGUGGUGCUGGCCUUGGAGGGUGGCCAUGACCUCACAGCCAUCUGUGACGCCUCUGAGGCCUGUGUGGCUGCUCUUCUGGGUAACAGGGUGAGCCGUCUCCCUCCCCCAUCCAUGCUUCUGUCAGGCAGGUAAGCCCGGCUCUCAGGACUACCCAAAGAGCAGGCAGAUGGGAUGGGACAGGGUGGGAGUGGCCAAGCCUGAAACAAGGUAGGCGAAGCGGAAGCCUCUGUUCCAAGUCAGGUCCAGACAGCAUCUCCUGGCCUAGGUAGAGUGUGCUUGUGGCUAGAAGGCUGGGGCCCCUGGGGUGGGAGUGAGCUGGGCCUGUGGGUCCCUGAGAGACUGGUGGCUGAUGUACUGUUUUCUAUAGGUGGAUCCCCUUUCAGAAGAA